ensembl:vault_RNA Vault Vault RNA
GCACUGGUUUAGCUCAGUGGUUCCUUCUCUGCACAAAUCUACUUGAUUUCGUGGUUCAAAUCCCUCUUCGGGACCAAACCACGGGCGCUGUCCAGUGCUUUU